UCUUCCUCGUCCCUCGCACGCAACAUCCUCUGACGAAGCCUCUGCCUCCGCCUCCGCCUCCGCAAUGGAAGAACUGGCUCGGCUCUCAUAUGCAGUCACACCAACGCCGUCGUCUCGAGGGAGGAGUGGGUGGGAGGAGAAGAAGGAGGAGGAGGAGGAGGCGGUGGCGGUUUUUAUCUCUGUGCUCUGCCUCGACGCGGGAGGCAUCGGAUCGAUCCGGCCGAACUAGCUACCAGAAGGAUGGGUCACCGUCGUCCCCAACCCCAUGGCUCACCACCCGCCUCAGCUCACUCUCUGACAUCGCUGGCUGCAUGAUCUAGGCUGUGCGGGGGAAGAUUUGUGUGCCGAGUUGUUCUCGCCAUCGGGACCGACGGAUCCAGGCUUCCAUCGAGCUCACGCAUCACCAUCGCCGCCAGCAAGCACAAACAGGUGCUCUCCAUCGCCGUCGCCACUCUGCCUCAUGAGUACGUGCCCGCACCCAUGACGGCGAGGCGCUCCACGCCUGGGCAUGUUCAAAGUCUGGCGCCGCCUCCCACGCGCUCGUCUCCAACUCCCUUAUCACCUUCUACUCCUCCCUCCCGCGGCCCCUCGUCCCCGCGAACCUGGUCGUCUUCGCGGACAUCCCCAUCGUCGCCCGCGACGUCGCCUUGUGGAAAUUCCUGCUCAACCCACUCUCGCACCACCGCCCCCGUGCCGUGCUCUCCCACUUCCGCUCCAUGCUAUUUUCGUCCUCGCCUGCCAUCCUCCCGUCUUCUCACUCUUUUGCCGCCGUCUUCACAGCCGCUGCCCCACGGACGCAAACACCGCAGACCAAGUGAUGGUGUUUGCGUCGUCUAAGGAGAGGAACUCCAUCACUUGGUCUGCGGUGAUCACUGGUGAUGUGGGAGCAUCGAUGGAAGGAAAGCAGGCACAUGGUUGAUGGUGAAGCUUGGGUUUGAGGCACAGGUGUAUGUGAAGAGUGCACUAGUGGACAUGUAUGCCAAAUGUGGCUGUAUUGCUGAUGCAAAGGGAGGUUUUGAUCAA